rnacentral:rRNA from 1 species
GACGAACGCUGGCGGCGUGCCUAAUACAUGCAAGUAGAACGCUGAAGAGAGGAGCUUACUCUUCUUGGAUGAGUUGCGAACGGGUGAGUAACGCGUAGGUAACCUGCCUUGUAGCGGGGGAUAACUAUUGGAAACGAUAGCUAAUACCGCAUAACAAUGGAUGACACAUGUCAUUUAUUUGAAAGGGGCAAUUGCUCCACUACAAGAUGGACCUGCGUUGUAUUAGCUAGUAGGUGAGGUAAUGGCUCGCCUAGGCGACGAUACAUAGCCGACCUGAGAGGGUGAUCGGCCACACUGGGACUGAGACACGGCCCAGACUCCUACGGGAGGCAGCAGUAGGGAAUCUUCGGCAAUGGGGGCAACCCUGACCGAGCAACGCCGCGUGAGUGAAGAAGGGUUUCGGAUCGUAAAGCUCUGUUGUAAGUCAAGAACGGGUGUGAGAGUGGAAAGUUCACACUGUGACGGUAGCUUACCAGAAAGGGACGGCUAACUACGUG